rnacentral:piRNA from 1 species
UCCACUUUCAUGAAAGCAGACACGCCGA